GUCAGGUACCCCAUGCCUAAAGGCAGGGGCUUGUGAAAGCAAGCCCGGACCUGUCCAGACUUAACCAGAAUCUUCUACUUCGGUAGGAGGUUAUCAGGCUACGAUAGAGGUGAAGUGUUCAAGUUCCUACCUACGGGUGCGUGCCAGCCGGUAGCUCUAGAAUCUCUGAGUUAAACAGUCAUACGGGGUUGAAGACAGUGCUCAGGGAAAAGUACCGCCCUCUAUCAUUGUCGAGGCAAACAUCAC
rfam:Ktedonobacter racemifer DSM 44963 strain SOSP1-21 Krac_Contig202, whole genome shotgun sequence.